rnacentral:rRNA from 1 species
AUUGAACGCUGGCGGCAUGCCUUACACAUGCAAGUCGAACGGCAGCACGGACUUCGGUCUGGUGGCGAGUGGCGAACGGGUGAGUAAUAUAUCGGAACAUACUUUGUAGUGGGGGAUAACUAUCCGAAAGGAUAGCUAUUACCGCAUACGAACUAAGGAUGAAAGCGGUGGAUCUUCGGACCACGUGCUAUAAGAGUGGCCGAUAUCUGAUUAGCUAGUUGGUGAGAUAAAGGCUCACCAAGGCGACGAUCAGUAGCUGGUCUGAGAGGACGACCAGCCACACUGGAACUGAGACACGGUCCAGACUCCUACGGGAGGCAGCAGUGGGGAAUUUUGGACAAUGGGGGCAACCCUGAUCCAGCAAUGCCGCGUGAGUGAAGAAGGCCUUCGGGUUGUAAAGCUCUUUUGUCAGGGAAGAAACGGUUGUGGCUAAUAUCCAUGGCUAAUGACGGUACCUGAAGAAUAAGCACCGGCUAAUUACGUGCCAGCAGCCGCAGUAACAC